GCCUGGGAAGCCGGAGCGCCAGCUUCGGUGGAGGCGGCGGUGGGAUACCACCCUGGCGGUAUUGAAAUUCUAACCCGCACCCCUUAGCGGGGUGGGAGACAGUGUCAGGUGGGCAGUUUGACUGGGGCGGUCGCCUCCCAAAAGGUAACGGAGGCGCCCAAAGGUUCCCUCAGAAUGGUUGGAAAUCAUUCGGAGAGUGCAAAGGCAGAAGGGAGCUUGACUGCGAGACAGACAGGUCGAGCAGGGACGAAAGUCGGGCUUAGUGAUCCGGUGGUUCCGCAUGGAAGGGCCAUCGCUCAACGGAUAAAAGCUACCCCGGGGAUAACAGGCUGAUCUCCCCCAAGAGUCCACAUCGACGGGGAGGUUUGGCACCUCGAUGUCGGCUCAUCGCAUCCUGGGGCUGUAGUCGGUCCCAAGGGUUGGGCUGUUCGCCCAUUAAAGCGGUACGCGAGCUGGGUUCAGAACGUCGUGAGACAGUUCGGUCCCUAUCCGUCGCGGGCGCAGGAAAUUUGAGAGGAGCUGUCCUUAGUACGAGAGGACCGGGAUGGACGCACCGCUGGUGUACCAGUUGUCCCGCCAGGGGCACCGCUGGGUAGCUAUGUGCGGAAGGGAUAAGCGCUGAAAGCAUCUAAGCGUGAAGCCCCCCUCAAGAUGAGAUUUCCCAUCGCG
rnacentral:rRNA from 1 species